rnacentral:lncRNA from 1 species
GGACAGGGUGACUCCCUGUGGGACUUAGGGGCCUGAGAUAGUUUAAGUUCUUUCUGUGUUCUCCCUCUUUCCCCACCUCCUGUGAACCUAGCCAGAGGUUCCCUUUCUUACAAAGAAGGCUGCAGGCAAGAGCGAAGUUGGCCAUGCCUGCAGGUUGCCUAGCUAGGUGCAGAGGGGCCUAAAGGAGGGCACCGUGGGUGUGGGAUGCCUUCUUCUCCACCCAUCAAAACCAGCCACCUCUCACUGCGCUACCAAGACAACCUUUUUUCAGUGACCAUGCUUAGGGGGAACUCCUACAUGGAGUAUUAGGGGGCACGGAGAUGCUCCCCCUUAUAGAGGCCUUGAACCCUAAGAUCUGCAGGUGGGGCUCGGAUAGGUUUUUGUCUGGCCUGCUCUUUAUCAAAUCUAGGUUUCUCAGCUGCCUGUCCUUCCAGGCAGCCCCUCUAGAGGAAAAUGUAGGAUUUUUUUUUUUCUUUAACUGCUGUGAACCCACUUGGGGGCGAGGAGGAGGCAGAAACAGCCUGUGUUUUUUAUGCAACAAUAAAGUCAUCAACCAACC